AUGCAAGGUAUGAAACACACAUCUGGUAACUUUCCUGUCGGUACCUGUCAGUACCAUGGCUACAACCAAAGGAAAAGAAGGACCUUUCAGAUGGGAAGGUACCAUGAUAUCUGUGCCAGCCAAACAAGUUACUGUUUGUUGUGUUACUGUUUACUUG
rnacentral:lncRNA from 1 species